CGCGGCCUAUCAGCUUGUUGGAGAGGUAACGGCUCACCAAGGCAUCGACGGGUAGCUGGUCUGAGAGGAUGAUCAGCCACACUGGAACUGAGACACGGUCCAGACUCCUACGGGAGGCAGCAGUGGGGAAUCUUGCACAAUGGGCGAAAGCCUGAUGCAGCGACGCCUCGUGGGGGAUGAAGGCCCUAGGGUCGUAAACCCCUUUCAGUAGGGACGAAAAUGACGGUACCUACAGAAGAAGCUCCGGCCAACUACGUGCCAGCAGCCGCGGUAAGACGUAGGGGGCGAGCGUUGUCCGGAUUUAUUGGGCGUAAAGGGCUCGUAGGUGGUUGCGUAAGUCGGAUGUGAAAACUCGGGGCUCAACCCCGAGACGCCAUCCGAUACUGCGCUGACUUGAAUCCAGUAGGGGAGUGUGGAAUUUGUUGUGUAGCGGUGAAAUGCGCAGAUAUAACAAGGAACACCUAUGGCGAAGGCAGCACUCUGGGCUGGUAUUGACGCUGAGGAGCGAAAGCAUGGGUAGCAAACAGGAUUAGAUACCCUGGUAGUCCAUGCCGUAAACGUUGGGCACUAGGUGUGGGUCUCAACCAACGAGAUCCGCGCCGUCGCUAACGCAUUAAGUGCCCCGCCUGGGGAGUACGG
rnacentral:rRNA from 1 species